GAGCAGCGGGUACCUGGCUGGCUCCACUGGCGGCCUCUGCCCACACCUGGGCACAGCAACCCUGUGCCUUGCCCACCCUUGGCUCAGGGGUCUGUGGCCGCCGGCCAUAGAGGAACCAGCGGAACCCUGGAUAACCGUAUCUGGAGUAGAACAGAAAACUUAUUAUGCUCGUGCUCCCUUGGGACACUUUGGAACUUGCACAGUGACAUCAUCUGGGAUUUAGUCUGGCGUGUGCAGCCUGGUGUCUAAGAUGGAAAUAGAUAUAAAUGGGAAUUCCUGAAGUACCCUGACCACCCUGCCCUUGCCUGUGGCAGAGGGAAGCUCUCCAGGAAAAGCAGAGGCAGAGAAACCCCCCUGCUCUAGCACACCCUCCUCGCCCAUGCGCUGGACUGUGUCUGGUUAUCAGAUCCUCCACAUGGACUCUAACACAUGGUUGGCUUCACCACUGGUGAGGAACUCCUGAAGUUAGCCCAGAAGUGCACACGAGCGGAAGACAGCAAGGGAGAAGCCAUGCCUCCCUUGAGCGCUAAACAGCUGGACACAGGACUCGUGCGUUCCUCUCAUCUGUAUAAAACUAGAAGUAGGUACUAUCAGCCAUAUGAGAUCCCAGCGGUUAAUGGCAGGAGGCGAAGGCGGAUGCCCAGCUCAGGAGACAAGUGCAAUAAACCCUUACCUUAUGAACCUUAUAAGGCCCUCCAUGGGCCCUAGCCUCUAUGCCUUCUUAAAGGUAAGAGGGCUCACUCCAAAUCUCUGGACUACCUCAAUCUAGAUAAAAUGAACAUCAAGGAGCCAGCUGACACGGAAGUGCUACAGUACCAGCUUCAGCACCUGACAAUAACAUGAGUGACGUGGGCAGAGUUUAAACCACUUUAGGUCAGCCUAUGCUCGGCUAGAGAAAAAUCUACUGUCGUACUCUGUACAUGACCCUUCACGUUAGAGACGGUUAUAUCAGCUAAGUGUUCCUGGAACAUAAAAAUUGUUUGGGUCAAGUUUUGGACGCAGGAAUGAAAUCACAGGUACUUGGGAUGGGGGGGGGGGGGCGGGGGAAUAUCAUUCUAGAGCACGCAACUGCAAAGAAAACUGAAUGUUGACCGUUAGUUUGCAUAGCUUUUUAGCUAGGGAAAGGUUGGUGCAGUCAUUUCACCUUCAUGAUUCUGACACCCAAAUUGGGAAUGUUAUCUGCUUGGUUGUUGCUAACUUGGUAUGAUUCAUUAGCAAUAUAUACCGAAGUACCCAGUGCUUCUCGGAUCUCUGUAUUUUACUAUAAAAUGUAUGUAAUGAUUUGUCUUAUGAAAUUUAAAGCUUGAACACGGCUGAACUGGACCACUUUUUAUUUUUAAAUAUUGAGUUUAAAUAUUUUAUAACUGGUUUUGCACUGAAAACAAUUAACAUUUCAGAUAAUUAAGAGAAUAAUCUUUCUUCACUUGCCUCAAUAAUGAUAUUGAGCAAUGGAUUUUUUUUUUAUUUCUGCAUGGAAAGUUACUGAUCUUUAUGGCUGUAAAAUAUUCCUUUCUAGCAUUAUUAAAGUGUGUCUUAAUAAAAUUUAAAAAAAA
rnacentral:lncRNA from 1 species